GCUGUGUGCUGGGCACGGGAUGGGAAUCACAGCACAAACCAGCACCCAACAGAAACAAACAGCAAUGGGCUGCUCAAAGUUUUGUUUGUUCACUUAAAAAAGAAAUAAUUACUCCUCUGGAUACUUUGCAGGUAUUUCUAAUAUUUAAAGAUCAAACCUCCUGCUGAUGGCAUUCUCCCAUGCACAUUCAUGGGAUCUGUUGCUGUGCAGUAGCAUCUGUGUAUCUGGAGGAAAGCAGGACCUUGCCCAUGGAAAUGCUUUUGUGCUUUAAAGGCCAGAUCACAGAACAUCUUCUCUGGUGCUCUCAGGGGCUGUUUGAAUGUGAAUUCCAGCUGGAUUGGGUCUGCUGAAAUGUUCCCAGGCCUGGCUGGAGGAUCAGUGUUGCUUUAAAACCUGAAUAAACACUUAUACGCCCUGGUAGCUUCAGAUCCAGUAGCCAGAACAAAUGACAUUUUGCAUGAAUUCUUCCAAGUGAAUUGCUCUGUGACCACUGUAGGCAUUUGAGUUUUUGACUCAUGAUAUAGAGUGCUGUUAAAGCUUUUCUUGAAGAGCUCUGAAAUGCCCUUCUUUCACCACCCCGAUUGUUUCCCCAGUCAGUGCAGUUAGCUGGGAGCCCAGUAUGGUUUCACUACUCCUGUGAGUUAUGUUUUGACUUGGGGUUUGGACUUUUUUGUGAUUGAAUGUUUUUACAGGGCUCCCUGUGACCUCAUGCGAGGGCAAUCGCUGUGUUGAUUUGCAGGAAUGUAGAUGGGCCUGCAGAAAUGUCAGGGUCUCCCAUUAAGAUGUUUCUUUCACCUCAGCAGGGGGACUGGGUUACUGGAGUGUUGUUACUGCGAUGCCCUGCAGUCAGUAACACAGCACGAGAGCACAAUUGCCCUGAUGUAUUCCAGCAGCAUGGUGUUAAUGUGCCAUUGCUUCUCGGGAUUUCAGCACCAAGGCAUCACUUCUGUGCAUUACAAUAACACAGGCAAGUGGGCUUCUGCUCUAGGAAAACAGCACCAGUCCCUGCAGCCCUUUGUGCACUGGGGUAGUAGGAUACAACCAGCAAUUUCCCAUUGUGCCUGGAUGCAGGGCCUGCUCUCAGAGUCCUGGAUGCAGGACCUGCUCUCAGAGUCCUGGAUGCAGGACCUGCUCUCAAAGUCCUGCAGAGCCUUUUUCACCUUUUCCCUCUGAGGACUGGAUCCCAGCUCAGUGGAAGUCACCAGCACACUCCCAUUGCUCUGGGAUACCUCUGGAAGAAGGUGGCUCAGUGCUGCAUUUCCCUCUUUCACAGUGCCUAAAUAUUUGCAAUAACAUUCCAAAGUGCAGUAAAUGUUCUAUAAGUGCACUCAUAUAUGUGCAGUGCAAUGUGGGUGCACUCACAGAACAUGUUUUGACUGCAGUUCUCUUUCUGUUGGCAUUUGUCUGUACCAUCUGAUGAGUAUUUGCUCUACAAAGGCACCUAAAAGAGCAAUUAUAUUUUCCAGAAAGUCUUAGAAGUUCUCUUUAUGGGCAAGUAUUUGUUAUGCUGGGGAUUGAACUCUUGCAAAGAAAGCAAAGUUUCAGCUUUCUUGAUAAAGGAAAGCAGCACACCUUGUUCAUGUUUUUCGUGAUAUUUUUGUGAUUCUUAUCAUGCUGAGUGUUCUUCUUAGGUGUGGAGUUCCCAAAGAUGGAUGGUUAGAGAAUCUUAGCUUGUGUGAAAUUCAAAACAGGAAUUUUUGAGCUUUCAUUACUGUAGAGAAAAGCUUGAGAAAAAUGCAUGUGGAAAACAAAUACCAGAUUGGAAAGAAGGAACCCAAAGUCAUGAGCCAAUGUGAUGCAAUAUUGUGGUAUAGAGACUAAUUUAUUCCCAGGUUCUCAAUGAAAACUGCUGCUUAUCCAGCAAAAUAAAAAUGUUUUUAAUUUUA